UCCCUCCCCCCCCCCCCCCCCCCCCCCGCCACCGUGCCCCACGCAGCCCCACUUGCGUCUCUCCACGCGGAACCCCUCCGCGCUGCGCCGCCCGCCAUGGAGCCCAGGAGGUGGGGAAGGGGAGGUCGUGAGGAGCGAGGAGGCCGGGAGCCUGGUACCCAGCCAGUCGAGGGGAUGCGGGAGGGAGUGGGAGACGGUGGCAGGGGAGGGGAUACAAAUAACUAAUGGGUUUCUACGGUGAGUGGAAAAUGCAAUUAUGGACGAUGGAUGAGUAUGCCGUGUGGAAGAACGAAAUUAUGGCUUGCUGAUAGGAAGUCAUUACCUUUAACCCACCAGCCAAACCCACGGACUGACGGACGAGAGUGGAGGUCCGCAAGAACCCGCAGCCUCGUCUCAUGUCUCUCUCACUCCCAAAUCCUUCGCAGCGCCACCGCCGCCACCGUGGCUCAGGUGGCUUGGGCCUGCCCGCCGACGCCGUGCUGCUCUCCCCUUCCUCCUUGGCCAAGUGCUCCUGGAAGGCAUCAAUGGCGCAGUCGAUGGCCUCACCAUCACCAUCCAGGAACCUAUCCCAGAAGGACCAGUAGCCCUUCCGCCCUCGACUCUACCCUCGCUGGGGCCGGCGGCGCCGAGGACUACCAUGAAGCGAGCACCAGAUUCGAAGAAAGAAUGGAGGAGAUUUGAGGAUGAAGAUUCAUUGUUUUACUUUGUUGCUAUUGUUAUUCUCGAAAGAUUUCAGAUCAUACGCUUCUAUCAAGAUUACCGCAGGGCCAAGAUUUGAGAUUUGAUUAGUCUUUUGAAAACCUAUGGAAUAUCGAGUUGAAGUGCCGUAAAGCAUGUUAAUCUAUAUAUUCAGAAUUGAUUGAGUAAACUAUUUGUCAAUCCUAAAAUAUUCACAUAUUUACAACUUGAUUGUUACACAAAUUUGGGUAAUAUAAUCUGCACAUGCUUUUAACCUGUAGUCAUAGUUUUCUGCAAAUGUUUAUAGUUUAGGCUUAAUCUUGUAGGUUUGUUAUUCUAAUGAUAAACAUUCUUAUUUUCGAAACUUGCAGAUUUGAAUCAAGAGGUUGUUUUGCAAUUUUUUGAACUAUUUGCUAUUGUUAGUGUUAAAGUUUUGUGAUUUGCUUUUUUUCUAAAAAUUUUCUAAAUUGUUAGUGGGCGGCCACGAACCCGCAAGAUCAGUUUUGUGGCGAGCUUUGCGGGUUGCGACUGGCCGCAACCCGCCCCGCCUGCAAUGGGAGGGAUAACCCUUGCGACCGCAGGGGCAUGCGGAAAAUCCGUGUAUUCGUGCAAUGAAAUCCUCGACAUGUACCGUCGAGUAUACAAGCAUCAUAAGCUUGUUAGGGCAUCCGCAGUAGCGAUUCGUUUCGUCAAGGAGAGAGAAGGCCACGUAGAUGCAAAAUAGAAUCAUCAAGAAGUCGACUCUUUCUUCUCCAGUGGUGUGGGAGCCCCCAACCGACUCAUCCUUGCCUUUUCAACUACCAGCCGCUUCUCUCUCUUUUGUGCGAGGUGUGGCCAAUUCAUUUUUUAUUCGGAUGAACCGAUGCAAGAUCUUGCAUCGACUCCUCUCUCUCUCCUCAACGAGUCGGCAUUCUCCAGUGAUAAAGUCAACUCAUCCAGAUUCCACAUAGGAGCAUGGUUCGCUUUGUGAAAGCCACUGGAGAAGCCCUUAUAGAUUGUUCUCGGCGAAAGUCUGAUAUUCUGAAGGAGAAAUCUGAAGAUAUCCAACAGGUUAGGAGCUGGGAUUGGAUGGGUGCUCCAAAAUCGAUUGCAGGUGGUUUCUGCAAAAAACUAGGAGGAACACACACACACACACACACACACACACACACACACACACACACUGCAAACUCCACCUUGCAACUCCUAUCAGCAGCAUGACACAGAACAAGCAAAACAUCCUGACUAGCCCGGCAAUUAAAUGAAGGGAGAAGUGAUCAUUGAUGGAUGCAAUGCGAAUAUGUAGAAACUACUAGUAGUCUAGUACAUCAAAUCCAAUCUUUUUUAAAAAAAAAAUAACAUCAACUCUUUCUCUCCAUCCAUUUGGACAUAUGGUCCUGGUCACGGCUUUGCCAUCUAUGCGUAGCCCAAACAAUAUGGCAACAUCUUGCAGUGUAAUUGUCAUCUCACCCGCAGGAAGGUGGACAAUACUCAUAUCGAGGAUCUGCCUUCUGACCACUAAGAUGUUUGUAACAAGUACGAUGCUCACACACGGAUGGGUAGGCAACCCGAAAGAGGACCCUUUGAAGAUUACAUUGUAAACUGUAAUACAGAUUAAGAGACUCCAACUACAGUGCAUUAGUUUACAAACUAAUCUGUAUCCAAACUAUACUGUACCUAGAUAAGAUAAUUGUGCACAAUGGAGUCAACACUUUGGAUUGAACAUGCUCUAAGAUGGUCAUAUCCUUAAGUUCUCA